GACGAACGCUGGCGGUGUGCUUAACACAUGCAAGUCGAACGGUAAGGCCCUGUCGGGGGUACACGAGUGGCGCACGGGUGAGUAACACGUGAGUAACCUUCCCUCGUCGCGGGGAUAAAAGUCGGGAACGGUUGCUAAUAACGGAAAUGAGCUUGCAGGGCAUCGUGGGGGUUGGUCGGAUUUUUUUGGUUGGGGAUGGACUCGCGGGCUAUCAGCUUGUUGUUGGGGUAGUGGCUCACCAGGGCUUCGACGGGUAGCCGGCCUGCGAGGGCGACCGGCCACAUUGGGACUGAGAUACGGCCCAAACUCCUACGGGAGGCAGCAGUGGGGAAUAUUGCACAAUGGACGGAAGUCUGAUGCAGCAACGCCGCGUGCGGGAUGACGGCCUUCGGGUUGUAAACCGCUUUCAAUGGUGACGAAGCUUUUUUGUGACGGUAGCAGUAGAAGAAGCACCGGCUAACUACGUG
rnacentral:rRNA from 1 species